GAGGGAUGGGGUGACUAGUGACAGAGAGAAGGAUGGGGUGACUAGUGACGGAGAGAGGGGGUGACUAGUGACAGAGGGAGGGGGUAACACAGUGACAGAGUAAGGGGGUCACUAGUCACCCACUCCCUCACUCUGUCACCAGUCACCCCCACUCACUGUGUCUCCCCCUCACUCUGCCACCACUCAACCCCUCCCUCACUCUGCCACCAGGUACCCCCUCACUCUGCCACCUGUCACAACCUCCCACACUCUUCCACCUGUCACCUUCUCCCUCA